rnacentral:rRNA from 1 species
UACGUAGGGUGCAAGCGUUGUCCGGAAUUAUUGGGCGUAAAGAGCUCGUAGGCGGUUUGUCGCGUCUGCUGUGAAAACCCAGGGCUUAACCCUGGGCCUGCAGUGGGUACGGGCAAACUAGAGUGCGGUAGGGGAGAUCGGAAUUCCUGGUGUAGCGGUGAAAUGCGCAGAUAUCAGGAGGAACACCGGUGGCGAAGGCGGUUCUCUGGGCCUGUACUGACGCUGAGGAGCGAAAGCGUGGGGAGCGAACAGG